rnacentral:rRNA from 1 species
UACAGAGGGUGCGAGGGUUAAUCGGAGUUACUGGGCGUAAAGGGCGCGUAGGCGGUCAUACAAGUGAGAUGUGAAAUCCCUGGGCUUAACCCGGGAACUGCGUUUCAACCUGUAUGGCUUGAGUACUGUAGAGGGUAGUGGAAUUUCCGGUGUAGCGGUGAAAUGCGUAGAGAUCGGAAGGAACACCAGUGGCGAAGGCGGCUACCUGGACAGAUACUGACGCUGAUGCGCGAAAGCGUGGGGAGCUAACAGG